AACUAGCCGCGAUGGCAACGGCAUCCUUUUUUGUUUUCUGAUUUUAAUUUCAAUCGGAUUGACAAACUUUGUAAAAACAAAAAAGAUACAGUGGACAGCGGGAUUAAGC
rnacentral:sRNA from 1 species